AACGAACUCUGGCGGCAGGCUUAACACAUGCAAGUCGAGCGCACCGCAAGGGGAGCGGCAGACGGGGGAGUAACGCGUGGGCAUCGACCCACCUCUACGGAAUAACGCAGGGACACGUGUGCUUAUACCGUAUACGUCCUUCGGGAGAAAGAUUUAUCGGAGAUGGAUGAGCCCGCGUUGGAUUAGCUAGUUGGUGGGGUAAAGGCCUACCAAGGCGACGAUCCAUAGCUGGUAUGAGAGGAUGAUCAGCCACACGGGGACUGAGACACGGCCCAGACUCCUACGGGAGGCAGCAGUGGGGAAUAUUGGACAAUGGGCGCAAGCCUGAUCCAGCCAUGCCGCGUGAGUGAUGAAGGCCCUAGGGUUGUAAAGCUCUUUCACCGGUGAAGAUAAUGACGGUAACCGGAGAAGAAGCCCCGGCUAACUUCGUGCCAGCCGCCGCGGUAAUAC
rnacentral:rRNA from 1 species